rnacentral:rRNA from 1 species
UGGGGAAUAUUGGACAAUGGGCGCAAGCCUGAUCCAGCCAUGCCGCGUGUGUGAAGAAGGCCUUCGGGUUGUAAAGCACUUUUGUCCGGAAAGAAAUCCUUGGCUCUAAUACAGUCGGGGGAUGACGGUACCGGAAGAAUAAGCACCGGCUAACUACGUGCCAGCAGCCGCGGUAAUACGUAGGGUGCAAGCGUUAAUCGGAAUUACUGGGCGUAAAGCGUGCGCAGGCGGUUUGCUAAGACCGAUGUGAAAUCCCCGGGCUCAACCUGGGAACUGCAUUGGUGACUGGCAGGCUAGAGUAUGGCAGAGGGGGGUAGAAUUCCACGUGUAGCAGUGAAAUGCGUAGAGAUGUGGAGGAAUACCGAUGGCGAAGGCAGCCCCCUGGGCCAAUACUGACGCUCAUGCACGAAAGCGUGGGGAGCAAACAGGAUUAGAUACCCUGGUAGUCCACGCCCUAAACGAUGUCAACUAGUUGUUGGGGAUUCAUUUCCUUAGUAACGUAGCUAACGCGUGAAGUUGACCGCCUGGGGAGUACGGUCGCAAGAUUAAAACUCAAAGGAAUUGACGGGGUCAUA